rnacentral:rRNA from 1 species
GCCAGACUCCUACGGGAGGCAGCAGUGGGGAAUAUUGCACAAUGGGGGAAACCCUGAUGCAGCGACGCCGCGUGAGCGAUGAAGUAUUUCGGUAUGUAAAGCUCUAUCAGUAGGGAAGAAAAUGACGGUACCUGACUAAGAAGCCCCGGCUAACUACGUGCCAGCAGCCGCGGUAAUACGUAGGGGGCAAGCGUUAUCCGGAUUUACUGGGUGUAAAGGGAGCGUAGACGGCGGUGCAAGCCAGAUGUGAAAGCCCGGGGCUCAACCCCGGGACUGCUCUGGAAACUGUAAAGCUGGAGUGCGGGAGGGGCAGGCGGAAUUCCUGGUGUAGCGGUGAAAUGCGUAGAUAUCAGGAGGAACACCGGCGGCGAAGGCGGCUUACUGGACUGUAACUGACGUUGAGGCUCGAAAGCGUGGGGAGCAAACAGGAUUAGAUACCCGCGUAGGA